rnacentral:rRNA from 1 species
GACGUAGGGGGCCAGCGUUGUUCGGAAUUAUUGGGCGUAAAGAGCGUGUAGGCGGCCAGAUAAGUCCGCUGUGAAAUCUCGAGGCUCAACUUCGAGCUGUCGGUGGAAACUAUCUGGCUAGAGUCCGGAAGAGGAGAAUGGAAUUCCUGGUGUAGCGGUGAAAUGCGCAGAUAUCAGGAAGAACACCCGUGGCGAAGGCGGUUCUCUGGGCCGAUACUGACGCUGAGGAGCGAAAGCGUGGGGAGCGAACAGG